rnacentral:piRNA from 1 species
AUCCUCUGCUAACACAACCAUUCACCU